rnacentral:rRNA from 1 species
AUUGAACGCUGGCGGCAGGCCUAACACAUGCAAGUCGAGCGGAGCGGCGGACGGGCGAGUAAUGCCUAGGAAUCUGCCUGGUUGUGGGGGAUAACGUCCGGAAACGGUCGCUAAUAUCUCAUCCAUUCAGCUGAGCCUUGUUCGGAUUAGCUCGUUGGUGGGGUAAAGGCCUACCAAGUCGACGACCCGUAACUGGUCUGAGAGGAUGAUCAGUCACACUGUAACUGAGACACGGUCCAGACUCCUACGGGAGGCAGCAGUGGGGAAUAUUGGACAAUGGGCGAAAGCCUGAUGCAGCCAUGCCGCGUGUAUGAAGAAGGCCUUCGGGUUGUAAAGCACUUUCAGCGGGGAGGCGUUACCCGCAGAAGAAGCACCGGCUAACUCCGUGCCAGCAGCCGCGGUAAUUC